rnacentral:rRNA from 1 species
ACGAACGCUGGCGGCGUGCCUAACACAUGCAAGUCGAACGGAACUUUUUUAAAGGAUUUCUUCGGAAUGAAUUUGAUUAAGUUUAGUGGCGGACGGGUGAGUAACGCGUGAGUAACCUGCCUCUAAGAGGGGAAUAACAUUCUGAAAAGAAUGCUAAUACCGCAUAACAUAUAUUUAUCGCAUGGUAGAUAUAUCAAAGAUUUAUCGCUUAGAGAUGGACUCGCGUCCGAUUAGUUAGUUGGUGAGGUAAUGGCUCACCAAGACUGCGAUCGGUAGCCGGACUGAGAGGUUGAACGGCCACAUUGGGACUGAGACACGGCCCAGACUCCUACGGGAGGCAGCAGUGGGGGAUAUUGCGCAAUGGGGGAAACCCUGACGCAGCAACGCCGCGUGAAGGAUGAAGGUCUUCGGAUUGUAAACUUCUUUUAUUAAGGACGAAGAAAGUGACGGUACUUAAUGAAUAAGCUCCGGCUAACUACGUGCCAGCAGCCGCGGUAAUACGUAGGGAGCAAGCGUUGUCCGGAUUUACUGGGUGUAAAGGGUGCGUAGGCGGCUUUGCAAGUCAGAUGUGAAAUCUAUGGGCUCAACCCAUAGCCUGCAUUUGAAACUGCAGAGCUUGAGUGAAGUAGAGGCAGGCGGAAUUCCCCGUGUAGCGGUGAAAUGCGUAGAGAUGGGGAGGAACACCAGUGGCGAAGGCGGCCUGCUGGGCUUUAACUGACGCUGAGGCACGAAAGCGUGGGUAGCAAACAGGAUUAGAUACCCUGGUAGUCCACGCAGUAAACGAUGGACACUAUCUGUUCGGGUCGAAUGGGAUCUGAGUGGCACAGCGAAAGCGUUAAGUGUCCCACCUGGGGAGUACGCCGGCAACGGUGAAACUCAAAGGAAUUGACGGGGGCCCGCACAAGCAGUGGAGUAUGUGGUUUAAUUCGAAGCAACGCGAAGAACCUUACCAGGUCUUGACAUCCUACUAACGAGAUAGAGAUAUGUUAGGUGCCCUUCGGGGAAAGUAGAGACAGGUGGUGCAUGGUUGUCGUCAGCUCGUGUCGUGAGAUGUUGGGUUAAGUCCCGCAACGAGCGCAACCCUUGCUAUUAGUUGCUACGCAAGAGCACUCUAAUAGGACUGCCGUUGACAAAACGGAGGAAGGUGGGGACGACGUCAAAUCAUCAUGCCCCUUAUGACCUGGGCUACACACGUACUACAAUGGACAUAAACAGAGGGAAGCAAUACAGUGUUGUGGAGCAAACCCCUAAAAAUGUUCUCAGUUCAGAUUGCAGGCUGCAACCCGCCUGUAUGAAGAUGGAAUUGCUAGUAAUCGCAGAUCAGCAUGCUGCGGUGAAUACGUUCCCGGGCCUUGUACACACCGCCCGUCACACCAUGAGAGUCGAUAACACCCGAAGCCUGUGAGCUAACCUAUUAGGAGGCAGCAGUCGAAGGUGGGGUUGAUGAUUGGGGUG